rnacentral:rRNA from 1 species
GAUGAACGCUGGCGGCGUGCUUAACACAUGCAAGUCGAACGAAGCACUUACCAAGGAUUUCUUCGGAAUGACUAAUAAGUGACUGAGUGGCGGACGGGUGAGUAACGCGUGGGUAACCUACCUCAUACAGGGGGAUAACAGUUAGAAAUGACUGCUAAUACCGCAUAAGCGCACAGUAUUGCAUGAUACAGUGUGAAAAACUCCGGUGGUAUGAGAUGGACCCGCGUCUGAUUAGCUAGUUGGUGAGGUAACGGCCCACCAAGGCAACGAUCAGUAGCCGGACCUGAGAGGGUGAACGGCCACAUUGGAACUGAGCACGGUCCAAACUCCUACGGGAGGCAGCAGUGGGGAAUAUUUGGCACAAUGGGGGAAACCCCUGAUGCAGCGACGCCGCGUGAGUGAAGAA